rnacentral:tRNA from 1 species
GUUAUCGGAAAUCGGAAACUUGGCUACGAACCAAGGGGUCGUGGGUUCGAAUCCUGCCGGGCGCGCCA